CGGGGGGAGCAAGCGUUGUUCGGAUUUACUGGGCGUAAAGGGCGCGUAGGCGGUCAGCACAAGUCAGUUGUGAAAUCUCCGGGCUUAACUCGGAAAGGUCAACUGAUACUGUGCGACUAGAGUGCGGAAGGGGCAACUGGAAUUCUCGGUGUAGCGGUGAAAUGCGUAGAUAUCGAGAGGAACACCUGCGGCGAAGGCGGGUUGCUGGGCCGACACUGACGCUGAUGCGCGAAAGCCAGGGGAGCGAACGGGAUUAGAUACCCCGGUAGUCCUGGCCUUAAACGAUGGAUGCUUGGUGUCUGGAGUUUUAUAGUCUCCGGGUGCCGCAGCUAACGCGUUAAGCAUCCCGCCUGGGGAGUACGGUCGCAAGACUG
rnacentral:rRNA from 1 species